AUUGAACGCUGGCGGCAUGCCUUACACAUGCAAGUCGAACGGCAGCACGGGAGCAAUCCUGGUGGCGAGUGGCGAACGGGUGAGUAAUGUAUCGGAACGUGCCCAGUCGUGGGGGAUAACGUAGCGAAAGCUACGCUAAUACCGCAUACGAUCUAUGGAUGAAAGCGGGGGACCGUAAGGCCUCGCGCGAUUGGAGCGGCCGAUAUCAGAUUAGGUAGUUGGUGGGGUAAAGGCCUACCAAGCCGACGAUCUGUAGCUGGUCUGAGAGGACGACCAGCCACACUGGGACGGGAACACGGCCCAGACUCCUACGGGAGGCAGCAGUGGGGAAUUGUUCGCAAUGGGCGCAAGCCUGACGACGCAACGCCGCGUGGAGGACGAAGAUCUUCGGGUCGUAAACUCCUGUCGAGCGGGAAGAACGCUUCCCGGGGCUAACAUCCUCGAAGGGUGAUGGUACCGAGAGAAGAAGCCCCGGCUAACUCCGUGCCAGCCGCCGCCGUAA
rnacentral:rRNA from 1 species